UUCAUUUGUUACGGAAAAUGAAAGGUCAUACAGAGAGCAGAAAUACAAUGGAAAUGCAAGCUACUCUGCUCAACUAACUGCACAGCUCCUCACUCUGACAACAGAACGUCCAUCAAAUGGAAAAUUCUGCCAACAUGAAGACAUCCAGGGUCCUAGGAUAUUUCCUGGUCAAAGGAAUCUUCAAUUUCUCACAUGUUAUCUGAUGAUCCUCUGUCUCUAAUCCAACAACCAGUAAAAUGGGCCUGUCUAGCCAAAGAGCUUCUGUGCAUAAGACAAGAAGGAGUGUGCAGGAUGGAUUGGAGAGCAAAGGCCUGGAGAGAGGGAAGCCAGCUAAAAAAGUGUGACAGCAACCCAAGGACUAUUGUGUUAGAGAGCAUACAUUUUCUGUGACAACUUUGGAAUCAAGAAGAAGCAGAGAGGACUGCAGAGUGCAUUUAGGAACUUCCAGGGUUGUCUCUCACACAAAUAGCUUACUAUGGGUUUCUCCUGAGUUUGAUUCCCAGGAGCUGGAAGAAAGGAUUUAAUUACUUCUUUUCUGGCUUGAGGACAUCUGGCGACCAUAGUCUCCUUCAGCGUCUCCAACACCAGGUCCUGAAAUUCAACUUACAUGACCAACAAGAGAAAGAUUCAAUUUGCACAAUAUUGGCUCACCUCCCUUUUGUUAUUUCUG